UUACUGGUAGGUUAUUAAAACUGAUAAAUUGUGGUUUUGUUGAUUGCUAAUUAUUGCACCAGUAAC
rnacentral:tRNA from 1 species